rnacentral:rRNA from 1 species
CCUACGGGAGGCAGCAGUGAGGAAUAUUGGUCAAUGGACGAGAGUCUGAACCAGCCAAGUAGCGUGAAGGAUGACUGCCCUAUGGGUUGUAAACUUCUUUUAUAUGGGAAUAAAAUGUUCCACGUGUGGGAUUUUGUAUGUACCAUAUGAAUAAGGAUCGGCUAACUCCGUGCCAGCAGCCGCGGUAAUACGGAGGAUCCGAGCGUUAUCCGGAUUUAUUGGGUUUAAAGGGAGCGUAGGCGGAUGGUUAAGUCAGUGGUGAAAGUUUGCGGCUCAACCGUAGAAUUGCAGUUGAAACUGGCAGUCUUGAGUACAGUAGAGGUAGGCGGAAUGCGUGGUGUAGCGGUGAAAUGCUUAGAUAUCACGAAGAACUCCGAUUGCGAAGGCAGUUCACUGGACUGCAACUGACGCUGAGGCUCGAAAGUGUGGGUAUCAAACAGGAUUAGAUACCCGAGUAGUC